CGGGGACAACAUUCCGAAAGGGGUGCUAAUACCGGAUGUGACGCUCCUAUCGCAUGACGGGAGGCGUGAAAGAUGGCCUCUACAUGUAAGCUAUCGCUAAAGGAUGGGCCUGCGUCUGAUUAGCUAGUUGGUAGUGUAACGGACAACCAAGGCGAUGAUCAGUAGCCGGUCUGAGAGGAUGAACGGCCACAUUGGGACUGAGACACGGCCCAG
rnacentral:rRNA from 1 species